UCCAGACUCCUACGGGAGGCAGCAGUAGGGAAUUUUGCGCAAUGGGGGAAACCCUGACGCAGCAACGCCGCGUGAUUGAUGAAGCCCUUCGGGGUGUAAAGAUCUGUCAGUGGGGACGAAACUUGACGGUACCCACAGAGGAAGCAUCGGCUAACUCCGUGCCAGCAGCCGCGGUAAUACGGGGGAUGCAAGCGUUGUCCGGAAUCAUUGGGCGUAAAGAGUUCGUAGGUGGCACGUUAAGUCUGGUGUUAAAUGCAGAGGCUCAACCUCUGUUCGGCACUGGAUACUGGCGAGCUUGAAUGCGGUAGAGGUAAAGGGAAUUCCUAGUGUAGCGGUGAAAUGCGUAGAGAUUAGGAAGAACACCAGUGGCGAAGGCGACUUACUGGACUGUAACUGACGCUGAGGCAUGAGAGCAUGGGGAGCAAACAGGAUUAGAUACCCCAGUAA
rnacentral:rRNA from 1 species